UACGAAGGGUGCAAACGUUAUUCGGAAUCACUGGGCGUAAAGGGUGCGUAGACGGUUUAUUAAGUUCGUUGUUAAAGGCUCCGGCCCAACCGGAGUAUAGCGAUGAAAACUGGUAAACUAGAGGAUGAGAGAGAGAAGUGGAAUUCCCGGAGUAGCGGUAAAAUGCGUGGAUCUCGGGAGGAACACCAAUGGCGAAGGCAGCUUCUUGGCUCAUAUCUGACGUUGAGGCACGAAAGCGUGGGGAGCAAACAGG
rnacentral:rRNA from 1 species